AGUAAAGACAGUUAGUGCCCCUUUGAACAUUUAGAGGAGUUGUGACAUCUGUGUGCAUGUAUAGCUUUUAUGCUUAUAUGUGUUCAUAUUGUAUGGGGUAUCUUAAGAAUGCUUUUUUGACCCAUAUGAGAGAAUGGAGCAGAAUUGGGCAUUUCUUUUUAAUUUUCCAGGCUAUUCUCAGAAUCACUGGACAAGAACUGCAGGCAAAACACGGGGGAGGAAGUGCCUUACUCUGGGAGAGCCAAGGAUGCAAACUGCUUCUGAAGUUGGCUGUGAAGUUUUGAAAACUGGUCAAAUGAUUUUUCUGUCAGGCUCAUUUCAUUGUUACCGUGUGUCACCUGGAUUAGAUACAGCUGCAGAAAAAAAAAAAAAGACAGAAAUCAAAAGGUGGCAUUAUCAACCUGUGAUACAUUUUAAAAUCCGGUUUCAUGUCAACUAAACACAGCAAGAACUUUUCUGCAAAAAGUCAUCGGAAGAACAAAAAGAUGCAAUUUGUAAAGGCAAAAUUUCCUAUAAACAGAGUAUAUAAAGAUAUCAUAAUCUUAUGUGCUGGGAACA